rnacentral:tRNA from 1 species
ACUGUUUUGGCAGAAUUUAAUGUUUUAGAUUUAGGUUCUAUAUAUGUAUAGUAUACAAGCAGUA